UUGACUUUCUGAGCUUUGAAAUGGUAUAUAGCAUGUAGCAAAUGGACUUCGGAAAGUGCUCCAAAAGUGCGAAUGAAGACUACAACUGUUGUCCUCUAUUUUCUUCACUCUGUUUUCCUCUUUGCUUCUCUCCUUUACUUGGCUUGUCUUAAUGAUCCAAAAAGCUGUCAAAACACUAAAACUAGCCACAAAUAUGAUUAGAAGUCAUUGCUAGGUCCUUAACAUGUCAAUUGGAAUAAAAAUGGAGAACUACUACACAAAAGUGCUUAAAACAUAAUGAAUUAAAAGUGCAAAAUAGCACUUUUUGGGUAGUAAUCAGGUGUCCACUGUGAGAUGGCUACAAAUGUGACCAAAGAAUUCUUAUCAAUAAUCCAAGAUGAAAGAGGUGUGAGAAGCACACUAUCAUGAGAUCGAUACUCCACCUAUAACCACAUAUUCUUAACUCAACCUUUAACUCGAGCUCCAUGAAGAGAAAAAAUGAUGAGGUGAUCAAAGCGAAUUUUUUAAAAAAAUGUGAAUGUGAAAACAUGUCUUUCACCUUCCCAUAAUGAAAAUGUGAGCACCGAGUUGAAAUUUGAAUAAAGAAUUGUACAAAGAAUGGGGUACUGGGCCUAUGAUAAGUGUACAAUGUAAAAGGAUGAUCAUGAUCAAUGAACAUAUCCCAAAGCAUUAAGCAAAAGACAAUCAACUGAAAGGAUGUGCCAAGCCAAGAAAGAGAGACAAAAUCCCUAGGGAAAAAACAUGUUAAACUCAUCGAGUGAAAAGAAUAAUCUAAGGUGACAUGAAAAAAGGUGAUCCAACUUAUACUAAAACUCGUACCAAUCUCAAAGCACUCUCAACUGGAGACCAAAAGAGAGAGUAUUGGAUCCAAACUAUAGCUAAAGAGGCUUUGAAGGCUCUCAGAUGUACCCAUGUGUAAGGAAGGAAAUCCUUAUCGAAGGAUCUAAGGCUCAACCUACGAGGUCAAGAUGGCUCUAAAAAGGAGAGGGGUAAACUUUGAAGGAUCCCUAGUAGAAGCAAUCGUACCCUCCGGUGGUACACAACCCUCUACACGUCUCCGAAGAGACGGGCACUUCCAAUCAAGGUGGUCAUCACCUCCACACAUGCACUACCUCAACAUCCCAGGGGGGCUCCUAUGAUGAAGGCUCUCCUAAUGGCUGGCAUAUCUCACAACUCUGAUAACUCAUCGACGAUCUAAGGUGCAUAGUGAGUGGUGUGGAUGCAUUCGAAAAUCCUAUUAAACUAAAAGAAAACACACUAGUCACAAAUAUCCUAAAAUCUAGCUCUGGGAUGUACAAGUCUUCAAAGUUCGGACUCCAAUCAACACCAAUGUGUCAGCCACCUCCAAAAUGCUCUCAAACAUAGAUAUAACCCAUCACUAGACCCUGCUCCUAAUCACUAGCUUGGUCGAAGAGAAAAUAAAACAACAAGUCUCAUAUCAAAUACGAGAUCAAGUAAAACAAGGUUGACCGAGACUAGGGACUUGGAGACAAGGGGAUAGGUGUGUGUCCCACAUAGACAAGCAACUCAUGUAAUCACACGGAAAGAGAGAAGUCAUGCAACAGUCAAUCAUGCAAAGCACAUGUAUAUCAUCCAAAUCUACACACAAGCUAAGCAAGAAAUAUAGCAAUCAAGAUGAAUAGUAAUGAGGAUAGCAUGCUCAAAGGUGAUCAAGAUAAUCGACACUAAGACAAACAAGAUAUACAACAAAGUGAACACGCAUGUCAAAGUGAGCAGGAUAAUCAUGGCAAGAGCAUAUUUGAUACACUAAGAUAAGCAAGAUAAUCAAUCAAUAUCAUCAGCAUGUCCAUGUCGCAAAUGGAUAUAGCAAUCAAGCAUAAAAAAUCACCACAUCAAAAUCCUCAAUGUGCUAUGAUCACUCAAGCAUAGAGAAGCACAAAGGGAAGGUAUCCAUCAAUCGACUAAUUAAACGCCACAUUUGCCUCAAUUUGAGUUUAAGUUUGACCUUCUAAACAUCCCCAGUGGAGUCGUAAUUUUGUGGACCCUACAUUUUCGCUUGAUGUGUUCCCACUCGAUGACCAACUCGCUUUUUAUUUAUUUGUUGAAAAUUUGAUUUUUAAAAAAGGACUUGGAGUCGCCACUUAUUUUAAUUUUUUUAAAAGGGAAAAAAAAUAAGAAAAAAAAACCCUAAGUGUGACUUUUGAAGGAAAAACAGGUCUAUGAAAAACCGAGUCUGGUUUCGGGGGUCAGGUUACAUAUUGGGAAGGUACGGUGGUGAGUUGUAGCACCCCUCUAAGCCCGUAUACAUACGGUCUCUACUAAACAAAUUAAGGGUAUUGUGACAAUUAAUUAAUUAAUCAUGGAUACCAAAAUUAAUAACAUAAAUCAAUAUACACAACAGUGCUAACAAAACAAAAUUACAAGAAUGUACAAAAUAAAUGACAAUAAAAUUAUGCAAAUUGAUUUAUUGAACUAAUUAAAAAAAAUAUUUGAAACAAAAAAGUUUUCUGAAAAUUUCAAAGGAUUUUAUAAAAAACAAUUUUGAAUGAGUGAUUUUAAUUUAUUUAUUUACAAAAUAUUUUCUUCAAGUGAUUUGAUUCAAUCUCAUAUUUAAUUUUCAAAAAAAGUUUUUUUUUUUUUUUUUUUUGCACUUAUUGCAUCAAAAGAAUUUAUUAAAAAUAAUAUAUAAAAAGAAAAUAAAAAGAAUUUGAUUUUAUUUAAAAAAUGAUUUUUCAAGUUUUAUUCAUAAGAGCAAUACAAUUUGAUAAUUGAUUUAUUUUUCUUCUUUUUUUAAAAAUAAAAUAAAAUAAAAGGAACUUUAAAAUUUUGCACUUUGUUUAAGUAAAGAAACUUAUAUUUUCACAAUUGUAUGUAAAAAAGAAUUCAAUUCAAUUUCAUCUACAACAAAAAUUUCACUUACAAUUUUAUUUAUCUACAAAUUUAUUUAAAAUUUUAUUACUUUAAAUAAAGGAUAUUUACUUGCUUGGAAAGAAAAUUGUCUGUUAUUAAAAAAGAAGAUUUUUGUUUAUGAACUUAUCUAAAAAAAUGUCUUUUUUUUUAAAAAAAGAAAAAAGAUUUAUUUGCGGCAAUAGUUUGAUUCAAAUUUAUUUACCAAAAAGGAAAUUUUUUUUUCCAACUUUAAUAAGAAUAAAAAAUAGAAAAUAAUGAUUUUUUGAAGGGAAGUUCCACAAGCUUUGUAACUUAUUAUUAUUAUCUUUUUUUUUAGGUCAUUUUUAAUUUAAUAUAAAAGGAAUAUGUCAAAUUUAUUAUUAAAAAAAAAAACUCAAAUUUAUUAAAAACAUGAUUUUUGGGUUUUGAUAAUUUUUUUAAAAAUCUAAAACGGUUUAUAUAUAUAUAUAUUAAAAAAAAUUAUUAAAACAAAUUGACUCCAAAUUCAUAUUUAUUUAUUUUUGAGAAAAAAAUAAAAAAAAUAAAAAUUUAUAUAAAAAAAAGAUUUUGAUUUAUUAGAAAUAUGAAUUUUGGUUUACUUAAAAAAAGUUAUUACAAAUAAUUAAAUUUGUUAUCAUCAUUAUUAUUAUAAAAUAAUCAAUUAAAUAAAUAGAUAAUUUUGAAAUUGAAAAGAAACGGUUCAUUGAAAUAUUCUAUAAACUGAAAAACAUUACUAAUAAUAUGAGAAUUAGGGACAACACAAAAUAAACGAAUAAAAAAAUAAUUAAACAAAUAAAUAGAUAAGCAAAUUACUCAAAUGUAUACGCAACAAUAACCAAACUAAUGAAAAUUUGAAGCAUUUAAUAGAUUUUGAAAGGAAAUGGAUCGUACACCAAUAUAUACCAAAAGGUCAUCCAAAAUAAAUCAAAUAUAUACAAAAAUAAAUAUAAAAUAAAAUAAAAAUAAAGAGGACAGGGAUAAUCGAUAUACCAUUUACAAUGCAAUCCCAAAUCUAGUGGCUCUCCACAACUUCCUCAACAAAACUUAGAAAUACCUGCAAACAUCUCAAACCUUUCACAGAAGAAAAAAAAAACAAAGAAAAUACAGAGAGAGUUUCUUUUCAAAAAUCCAGAGAGUCGUCCCCUUUAGCCGUCCUCCCUCUCUCCCAGCAUGCUUGUUUUUUUCCUUCUUAAUCCAAAAAUUUUGGUCCUCAGUCAAC
rnacentral:lncRNA from 1 species